CGUAGGUCGUGAGAAAACUGCCUAUAUAAACGUUAAAAUCAUAAUUUGGAGCACAAUUUCUUAACGUAGAAAACUGAUAAGACCUUUACAUUAAAAAUGAACUGCGGACUCGCGUUGCUUGUUGUUUAUUGCACUGUUGCGAUGGUUCUAUCCACAUCAACACCCAGCACCACAACGGCUAAGUCUGCCAUCCAUCCGCCAUGUAAGACCGACGCGGACUGCAGUGUCUUAGUGUGCUCCAAGCAAGGUGAGGUCCCAGAAUGCCACGCUUCUGUAACUUCCCCCACGGGCCUAGAUUGUCAUUGCCACGUCCCUGAAAGAGAGUGUUUCGAAGAUCUAGACUGCGUUCUGGAGUGCGGCCCUGAAGCAACGUGCGACAAGAAUGCCUGUCACGGCAACUGUACUCACUUUUAAAAGCUGGCGAUCAGCAUGCACUGUAUUAAUUUAUAGUAUUGCUUUGAGACAUAAUGGUUUAUAAAAUAAUUAGUUUGUUUAGAAAUUAUUAAAUAAAUGAGGUUUCUACAAUGCAUGUUUAUGUAAAUGUAUUUUCAUUUUAGUUUCUAUAAAAUCAAAUAAAGCUACAAUGGAAAAUA